GGCGGAGUAGCUCAGCUGGUUAGAGCGACGGAAUCAUAAUCCGCAGGUCGGGGGUUCGAAUCCCUCCUCCGCUACCA
rnacentral:tRNA from 1 species